UUUUACAGUACGGUUUGUACCUGUGGAGACGCCUGACCAGAAUUAUUAAAGGUCAACCCAGGAAAGGAUGUUACUGUGGUCACAAUGAAUGGGCGACAUGAUCUCAGCAUGCCUGAGUUGAAUUGUGAGGCAUGCAAAGCCACUUGGACUGCUGGAGUGGACGACCUCAUUCGCAGUGACUACUGGCCUGCUACACUUCACUCUGCUACAGUUUAUGCAACCGAGAUUUUGUUUUCAUUUGAAGAAAUGAAGAUGGUGGCACCAGGAUUGUCCUGCCAGGCAUUUUUGACAAUGUCCGCUUUGGCCGUACUGGGAAGAUCUCUGCAGACAGCUUCCAAAAAAGUUUUUUUGAGUGGGAAGCUGUGCAACAUCUGCAAAGAGGAGCCCUUCAUCUGUCCUGCGUGCACCCCAAAUAUGCUUGCAGUUUCCGUGGAUGGAAAUCGCAAGCAUUACCGGUUCAAGAAUGCAUCUAGGUACUCCAAGAUAUGUUUAAGAAUAUAUAACUCUUUAUUAUGCACCAAUCAACGUUAGUCUGUAAGAUUUUGGAAGCUGUUGUGAACCUUUGUUUAAUUUAGA